AACCGAUAAAGGCAAACCUAACGAAAGUUGGGGACGCAAAGCUACAGGGCCUUCCUUAGUUAACUAAGAUGGCAGCCAGUUACCGAA
rnacentral:ncRNA from 1 species